UGGGGAAUAUUGCACAAUGGGGGAAACCCUGAUGCAGCAACGCCGCGUGAAGGAUGAAGGUUUUCGGAUUGUAAACUUCUUUAGUCAGGGACGAAAAAAAUGACGGUACCUGAAGAAUAAGCCACGGCUAACUACGUGCCAGCAGCCGCGGUAAUACGUAGGUGGCGAGCGUUGUCCGGAAUUACUGGGUGUAAAGGGCGUGUAAGCGGGAAUGUAAGUCAGAUGUGAAAUCCCAGGGCUUAACCCUGGAGCUGCAUCUGAAACUAUGUUUCUUGAGUGCCGGAGAGGAAAGCGGAAUUCCUAGUGUAGCGGUGAAAUGCGUAGAUAUUAGGAGGAACACCAGUGGCGAAGGCGGCUUUCUGAACGGUAACUGACGCUGAGGCGCGAAAGCGUGGGGAGCAAACA
rnacentral:rRNA from 1 species